rnacentral:rRNA from 1 species
GUCCACGCCGUAAACGAUGGGUGCUAGGUGUGGGGUGUCGACUCCCCCGUGCCGAAGCUAACGCAUUAAGCACCCCGCCUGGGGAGUACGGCCGCAAGGCUAAAACUCAAAGGAAUUGACGGGGCCCGCACAAGCAGCGGAGCAUGUGGUUUAAUUCGACGCGACGCGAAGAACCUUACCAAGGCUUGACAUGUACGGGAAUGUCGGAGAAAUUCGGCAGCCCUUCGGGGCCCGUGCGCAGGUGGUGCAUGGCUGUCGU